rnacentral:ncRNA from 1 species
CCCACUGAAUUUAAGCAUAUUAGUCAGCGGAGGAAAAGAAACUAACUAGGAUUCCCUCAGUAAAGGUGAGUGAACAGGGAAGAGCCCAGAACCCCAGAACCGAAUCCCCACCUGCGGUGGGGCACAGAAAAUGUGGCUUAUGGAAGACCCUAUCCCCAGUGCCUCUCAUGGGAAGCCCAAGUCCUUCUGAUUGAGGCCCCGCCCAUGGAUGGUGUGAGGCUGGUAGUGGCCCCCAGCAUGCUGGGGCCUGGCUAUUCCCAGAGUCAGUUGCUUGGGAAUGCAGCCCAAAGUGGUUGGUAAACUCCAUCUAAGGCUAAAUAUCAGCACAAGACCAAUAGUUAAGAAGUACCAUAAGGGAAAGUUGAAAAGAACUUUGAAGAGAGACUUCAAGAGGGUGUAAAGCCACAGUUAAGAGAUAAAGGGCUGGGGUAUGUGCAGUCAGCUCAGAGGAUUCAACCUGCUGAACCAUGG